UGGGGAAUAUUGCACAAUGGGGGAAACCCUGAUGCAGCGACGCCGCGUGAGCGAAGAAGGCUUUCGAGUCGUAAAGCUCUGCCCUAUGAGAAGAUAAUGACGGUAUCAUAGGAGGAAGCCCUGGCUAAAUACGUGCCAGCAGCCGCGGUAAUACGUAUGGGGCGAGCGUUGUCCGGAAUUAUUGGGCGUAAAGGGUACGUAGGCGGUUUUUUAAGUCAGGUGUCAAAGCGUGGAGCUUAACUCCAUUAAGCACUUGAAACUGAAAGACUUGAGUGAAGGAGAGGAAAGUGGAAUUCCUAGUGUAGCGGUGAAAUGCGUAGAUAUUAGGAGGAAUACCGGUGGCGAAGGCGACUUUCUGGACUUUUACUGACGCUCAGGUACGAAAGCGUGGGGAGCAAACAGG
rnacentral:rRNA from 1 species